rnacentral:rRNA from 1 species
UGGGGAAUUUUGGACAAUUGGGCGAAAGCCUGAUCCAGCAAUGCCGCGUGUGUGAAGAAGGCCUUCGGGUUGUAAAGCACUUUUGUCCGGAAAGAAAUCCUUGGCUCUAAUACAGUCGGGGGAUGACGGUACCGGAAGAAUAAGCACCGGCUAACUACGUGCCAGCAGCCGCGGUAAUACGUAGGGUGCAAGCGUUGAUCGGAAUUACUGGGCGUAAAGCGUGCGCAGGCGGUUUGCUAAGACCGAUGUGAAAUCCCCGGGCUCAACCUGGGAACUGCAUUGGUGACUGGCAGGCUAGAGUAUGGCAGAGGGGGGUAGAAUUCCACGUGUAGCAGUGAAAUGCGUAGAGAUGUGGAGGAAUACCGAUGGCGAAGGCAGCCCCCCUGGGCCAAUACUGACGCUCAUGCACGAAAGCGUGGGGAGCAAACAGGAUUAGAUACCCUGGUAGUCCACGCCCUAAACGAUGUCAACUAGUUGUUGGGGGAUUCAUUUUCCUUAGUAACGUAGCUAACGCGUGAAGUUGACCGCCUGGGGAGUACGGUCGCAAGAUUAAAACUCAAAGAAUUGACGGGGUCAUAGCUGUUUCCCU